GGCGACCGGCGCACGGGUGAGUAACACGUAUCCAACCUGCCGUCUACUCUUGGACAGCCUUCUGAAAGGAAGAUUAAUACAAGAUGGCAUCAUGAGUCCGCAUGUUCACAUGAUUAAAGGUAUUCCGGUAGACGAUGGGGAUGCGUUCCAUUAGAUAGUAGGCGGGGUAACGGCCCACCUAGUCUUCGAUGGAUAGGGGUUCUGAGAGGAAGGUCCCCCACAUUGGAACUGAGACACGAUCCAAACUCCUACGGGAGGCAGCAGUGAGGAAUAUUGGUCAAUGGGCGAGAGCCUGAACCAGCCAAGUAGCGUGAAGGAUGACUGCCCUAUGGGUUGUAAACUUCUUUUAUAAGGGAAUAAACCCUCCCACGUGUGGGAGCUCGUAUGUACCUUAUGAAUAAGCAUCGGCUAACUCCGUGCCAGCAGCCGCGGUAAUACGGAGGAUGCGAGCGUUAUCCGGAUUUAUUGGGUUUAAAGGGAGCGCAGACGGGUUGUUAAGUCAGCUGUGAAAGUUUGGGGCUCAACCUUAAAAUUGCAGUUGAUACUGGCGUCCUUGAGUGCGGUUGAGGUGUGCGGAAUUCGUGGUGUAGCGGUGAAAUGCUUAGAUAUCACGAAGAACUCCGAUUGCGAAGGCAGCA
rnacentral:rRNA from 1 species